rnacentral:snRNA from 1 species
GCUAAUCAAUGCACCAACAAUGGU